CAAUAACGUAUAUUAAAGUUGUUGCAGUUAAAAAGCUCGUAGUUGGAUAUCUGACGAGAGUUGACGGCCCGCCUUCGGGAUGAGCGCUGGAUUCUCGAGUCUAUCUUUCGGUUGUUAGCCUUUCCCUUCAUUGGGCGAGGUCUAGUAUCCGGAUCAGUUACUUUGAAUAAAAACGGGUGUUCAACGCAGGCUUAUGCCUUGAAGUAUGCAGCAUGGAAUAGCAACCAUAGGACUAUAGUGUUCUAUUCAGUUGGUUCUGGGACCUUAGUAAUGAUUGAUAGGGACAGUUGGGGGUGCUGCUAUUCCGCGGCCAGAGGUGAAAUUCUCAGAUUCCCGGAAGAGCAACUUAUGCGAAAGCAUUCACCAAGGAUGUCUUCUUUA
rnacentral:rRNA from 1 species